GUCAGGGGAGACCAAGCAAACAGCGCUGCGGGAACCUUGGCUUCCCAACCCGCGGCCUUGUCCCUGCUGCACUCAGCGUGGGCCUCAGGGUGGGUGCUGGAGGCUGCGGAAAGUGGAGAUCGUGUCCUGCUGGAUCCUCCUGCAGGUAUUGUAAUUUUUCUGUCUGAGGAGUGUGGCCCUUCAAGAGCCAGAGUUCUGGCUUCAGACUACCUGGGUUCAAAUUCUGACUCAACGUCUUUUAGGUGUGUGUCCUGAGCAGAGACUCUUCAGCUUCCAGAAAGGAUCCCCCAGCCUUCAGACAUAGACUCUUCAGCCUCCUCAAACACACUCACAUGGGACACUGCAGUGAGAUCCAGACCUUGGACUGGGUCCUUUGGUCUCCAGUGCUGAGACAGACCCUCUGCACUCUUCCUCAUCUGACUCUGUGGGUGGCCAUUGCAAGCCAAUCUUGUAAAUUCAUAUAUAUUUGUGUAGCUUGUGUUUUAUCUGCUUCUCUAGUAAAUAUUGACUGAUACACUGUCUCCAGCAGGCCUCUUGCCUUCUACCCCACCCCACCCGCAUGUUCUGUUUUUUGGUGAGCUAGCUGGGUGGAUCCAUUAGACUAUAAAUAAUUUAAAGUGCAAAAUAAAAGAUAGGUGAUAGGAAACAGCGAAGCAGACCUUAUGCAGAAAGGGAGGAGAAUCUAUUGA